UUUUGGGUUCGUGAAUUCGUACGGCAUGUAAUAGGAGAGAUGGCUGUCGGUCUGUGCGGAAGAACUGCCGUUUAGAGUCUAGGGACUAGCUGGAAAAUGGUUCACGAGAAGGUUAAAUGCAGAAGAUUAUUUUCAGUGUUGAUUCUGUAAUGUGUACUGGUUAUGCAGUGGUAAUGAAAACUCGUGUAAUCUGGAAAAGUUGCUCAAGUAUGAAGAGUGAAAUGCAUUUAGGUCAGUGAAAUUCGUGUACCAGAUUAAAAAGAUCAAAGCCUUCUGCUGCAUGUUUAUGAAGCAAGAUUGCAUCUGAGAAACCAACUUAUAAACACAUUGAUCUGAAAUGAAAUGUGCUGUAUUAGUAAAGGUUUGACUAACAAGUGAAAUGCAGUGCUAAAUGAUAAAGCUCUCUUGCAAACAGGAAAAUGUUUCCCCAUCAAUAUUGGGUCCAUUCCUGGCUGAGACAAUGUACAUACAAGGGCUACAGUACAGUUGGACUGUCAAAGGCAAUUUACAGAUUACACAAUUCUGCUAACUGGUCUUAAUAACUGCCAGUUGUAAGCAGAGAUGAUAUUCUGUCCAUGGAGGAAUACGGUUAUCAAAAUGGCAACCAUGUAUGCUUAAAAAGUUGACACUUUAUCUGCCGCUUCUUUCUGUGGCAAAUACACAAUUCUACCGUACAUGUGAACUAUGGCAGUGCUGCUGCAUGUAUAUCAAAUAAUCUAUACACCAGUUUCAAAUAAAUAAAUAAUGCAAUAAAUUUAA
rnacentral:lncRNA from 1 species